GUCGAACGGUGAAGCCCUUCGGGGUGGAUCAGUGGCGAACGGGUGAGUAACACGUGGGAAAUCUGCCCUGCACUCUGGGACAAGCCUUGGAAACGAGGUCUAAUACCGGAUAUGACCUUCCUCCGCAUGGGGGUGGGUGUAAAGCUCCGGCGGUGCAGGAUGAUCCCGCGGCCUAUCAGCUUGUUGGUGGGGUAAUGGCCUACCAAGGCGACGACGGGUAGCCGGCCUGAGAGGGCGACCGGCCACACUGGGACUGAGACACGGCCCAGACUCCUACGGGAGGCAGCAGUGGGGAAUAUUGCACAAUGGGCGAAAGCCUGAUGCAGCGACGCCGCGUGAGGGAUGACGGCCUUCGGGUUGUAAACCUCUUUCAGCAGGGAAGAAGCGCAAGUGACGGUACCUGCAGAAGAAGCACCGGCUAACUACGUGCCAGCAGCCGCGGUAAUACGUAGGGUGCGAGCGUUGUCCGGAAUUAUUGGGCGUAAAGAGCUCGUAGGCGGCCUGUCGCGUCGGAUGUGAAAGCCCGGGGCUUAACCCCGGGUCUGCAUUCGAUACGGGCAGGCUAGAGUGUGGUAGGGGAGAUCGGAAUUCCUGGUGUAGCGGUGAAAUGCGCAGAUAUCAGGAGGAACACCGGUGGCGAAGGCGGAUCUCUGGGCCAUUACUGACGCUGAGGAGCGAAAGCGUGGGGAGCGAACAGGAUUAGAUACCCUGGUAGUCCACGCCGUAAACGUUGGGAACUAGGUGUUGGCGACAUUCCACGUCGUCGGUGCCGCAGCUA
rnacentral:rRNA from 1 species